UCGCUCCCUUUCUCAGGGUGGAGCCUGAAGUUGCUGCUGUUUAAUGGCAGUUUUACAGCGAGGGAGGCAAGGAGGGGCAGGGGAUGCUGUGCAGGGUGCUGGGUACAGGGCACGGUUCAGGUGUCCCAUGUCCUUGUUGCAUCAUCUCAGUGUAGUAUGGCUUUGCAGAGAACAGGUUAUGGAGAAGCAAAAGGUCGUCCAUGGGGUUUAGCAGGAAGUAAUGUGAAAACACAAGAUUUUUUUUCCUCCUGGUUUUACCAAAGUCAUUCCAGGAUGGGGUCUGUUAGCUUUACAGCAAAUGAAAGCAAGCCUGCAUCCCUGUGCAAACUCACUCUUGUUUAAUUAAGGUGGCCAAAUGGGCAUAAACUCCUGAGCCACUUGCUCUUUAUGAGCAGCUGAUUUCACUUUAGCUUAAGCCUGUUCCUACCCAGCUGAUGUGAAGGAGCAUCCAAGGAGCCAGUGGUACCAGGACACCCAGCACGGAUCAAAGUCACAGGUAUUAAGUUGAUGGCACAACAAUCCCCAAGUACAUUAGAUUCGCUUUCCUGCCCACCCCUGCCUGAAUGCAGAGCUUGUGCGUCCCCUGUGCACAGAGCGAGCCUGGCGUGGGCAGCCCAAGGAGCGGGCCCGCAGGAAUGCAGGUGAACAGAGCCAAAUUGUUCCAGCCGCGAGAAGAAGGGAAGAGAGAGGAAGAAGGAGAGAAAGGAAAAGCAAAGGAGAGAAGGAAGAGCUGGGAGGAGGGGAGUGGAAAUAAUCCUUGUCUGUGCGUGGUGGAAUUUCUCUGGAGAUAUUUGCAGGGCAGUGUGGUUAAAAAAAAAAAAAAAAUCCUUAGAAAAAUAAUAAAACGUCCUGCCUUCCACACAUACCCGUGAGGGGAGGUUUUUGUCAGUGGCCUCCAUGGGAAAGUGAUGUUCGAGAGAACAAUUGCUGGGCUGUUGUACCGCGCCUGCCUCUAUGAAUGAAGCUUAAGAAAAGGUGUCCUUGGACUCUUGCUAAAACCCAUCAUCUUCUCCAUUCCCUGCGUGUGCCCGCUCGCUGCCGCUGCCUCCUGAAACAGGCCAACAACUUAUAAACAAAGCAGUAUAAAAGAUGAGAUGGGAGUGUGCUCAGCCUCAUUUCCUUGCCGGCAGCCGCCAGUUAGCUGCUCGUCCCUGCUGCACUGUGGUGGGGUGCCAGGGCUGCGGCUCGGUGGUCCCUGCUCUCUGGGGAGCUCUGGCGUUGCAGAAAGCAAAGUUGAAGACAGAGGCGGGGGGAGGGGGGGCGGGGAAGCUGGUCCUGAACGGGGUCUUUGGGGCAACUUGUCCUUUGAGGUGGGCCAGGCAGUCCACGUGAGCAGCACAGGUGCUUUCUUGCUAAGGAGCAAAUAUCGGCCAUGCCUCCGCCUGGCGUGCUUGCAUGGCUUGCUGCAGCGUGCUCUGAGCUGCAAACUCACCGGUGAACAGGAGGGUUUCUGUAAGCACUGCAGGGACAUGGUCCCUGUGACAGCCCCGUGUUGCUCCGGGGAGGCUGGAUGUCCAUGGUCUGCAGAGGAGCCCUGGGAUCCCCACCACAGAUGAAAAGGAUAAAAAGGAAAAGCAUGACUUUGGAAUGGCUUCGCAUAAACCCUCGGGUGUGUAGGGAAGAAACCAAAUCAGAGGAGCAGCUGUGGGACUUGUGCAGCCCCCUGUGAAAAAUGGGAGAGACCACGGAAAGGAGAAAAGCCACCGGGUUCCACUCCAGCCCCUAGUUUUUCCCUUUAUAGCUGGAGGGAUGAAGAACAGGCACGAACAGCACAGAUAAGCGGCCGAGAGCCCUGCUGCCCUGUUCAGCCUUGCUGCACCCCUGGCAGCUCCUCUGGCCGAAGCAGGUUGGACCCACGUCUGGCACGUGGGGUCUGGCCAGGAAACCUUCAAGUAGCAGCACUUUCCCUUUUAAGCAGGUGAGAUGGUGCCCAGAAAUGAAAGGCAGCUGCAGAAUUUGCCUCCUCCCAAGACUGGAUGAAACCAGAGCGCUUUAAGACAACACAGCGCAAGAAUCAAUCCGCUCAAGUGGCACCAAAGGGUUGUACCCAGGAGAAAAUGCAGUGAAAGAGAUGAGCCAGGCUUCUGGGGAGCGACCUCUUUGUCAAUGCUAAUGAGUGAAUCCUGGUGCAGCCUCAGGACAGUAACUAUCAUCAUUGUUAUGCUGGCCCCCAAAAACCAGAGUCCAGCUCUAGAUGGUUCUCCUGCUGGUAACUAGGAAAAUACCAGGAAUGAGAAAAUUGAGGAGUGGCGAACGAAGUGCCUGGUACUCUUUCUGGGAUGUUCUCCUGUUGGUUGGAAAUGUAGGAAGAAACCUGGUUAUUUUCAUGGCUCUUGCGGUCUGCAGCUCCAUCCCAGCUGUGACGGACCCUCUUGGGAGGUAUUUCAGUUGUGCUGGGUUCUGCUCAGCACUCAUGCUAGCAAAAUUCAAGACAGCUCAGGCUCCCCGGUGCUGUACAGCAGUUGCUGCUGGUGAGAUGAUGCCUAUUUGACCUAAAUCAAGGACUGGACUUGAGAUCUUGUUUGGUUAGCAUACACAUUUUUUAUGGUUUGGGUCUUGGCUGGGGGACAGAGCUUGAUGCACACCUUGGAUAUAGGAGGCAGAAAACACCUGGGAAGAGGUAGAAGAGGCAGCUUGUAGCCAUCUCCUCCUGACUAUUUGCAGCUCCCUGGCUGAGCCAGGAGAGUUGGAUCCAGCAAUGCUGUUCUUCAGCUUGGGCUGCUGCUUCUUCCUGGUGUCCCUUCAGGUACAUGUUCUUUGUUGGCAGGAGCAGAGGCUCUGGCCAUUCCCUUGUCCUUUGCAGAGCAGGUCUCUUCUUUCCCUGAUGAAUUCUGAUGGGCUUUUGUAGCUUUUGCUGUUGCAAUUUCCCCUGGAGAUCUUGGUGGGAGCUGAUUUGGGCCAUGCAGGAAGGUGGCUGGGCUUUGAGGUCUUCUCAGAGGAGACUGAGGAUGCUGAAGUUUCAGGGAUGUGGAUGGCCAGUGUGUGCACAUAGCUAUCACUGGGGCUGGUUGAAAAAUGGUUGUGACAUUUAUGUGGGUAGGAGACAGGCACAGGCUGUGGAGAUGAAUGAUAAAACCCUGUGGAGUUGUCCUGGCCCUGUCCCUGACAGGGAGGUGGAAGGAACCGCUGAUGCUCUUGUUCUCUUUAGGCUUUCGGGGGAUCCUUUUAAUGCAGCAGCUCUUUG